rnacentral:rRNA from 1 species
AAAGAUCGAAUAGGGAGAUUCAUCGACAACGAAGGCUGGCUUCCGUUGAUGCGCAGAUACCCCGAAUGGACCUUCGUGGUUUUCAAUGCGAGGGUACACCAUCUUCGUGAAAUGUUCCGGCAACGUAGUCGUGCACUUCUCCCUAUGUAGAACGUCGCGACCCGUUGCGUGUCGGUCUACGGCUCGAGUUGUUGCCUGCCGCGUCGCCAAUGCGCGUUCACGGUAGACGCUCGAUGUCCUGGCCGACUGCGUGACGGUACUCUGCGAGACGGUAUUGGGCCSCAACACAAUUGUCUCUUUCCUCGCUCCGGGGAUUGGACAUAUGCGUCGGGCCCGUCGCAAGCUUGACUAGAACCCGGAUGGUACGGACUUUGCGCCGGCUCCGGGCCUAGCCAGCUGUUGGCUGACGGUGACCUCUGACUGGCCAAACUUUGAAUUACCGGUCAGCGACGCUACUGCUUUGGGUCCUCUCAGGACCCGUCUUGAAACACGGACCAAGGAGUCUAACAUGUGCGCGAGUCAUUGGGACUUGUAUGAAACCUAAAGGCAUAAUGAAAGUAAAAGUCGUUCUUAGCAUCGACCGAGGGAGGAUGGGCCGCGUUACGAUGCGGCCUCGCACUCCCGGGGCGUCUCGUUCUCAUUGCGAGAA